UGCUAUGGUAGUCUACACGAACAGGUGAGAUUAAUGCUACUGGAGUCUACAUGGACAGGGUGAGAUUAAUGCUACUGGUAGUCUACACGAACAGGGUGAGAUUAAUGCUACUGAUAGCCUACAUGGACAGGGUGAGAUUAAUGCUACUGGUAGUCUAUGCGGACAGGGUGAGAUUAAUGCUACUGGUAGCCUACAUGGACAGGGUGAGAUUAAUGUACUGUAGCCUACAUGGACAGGGUGAGAUUAAUGCUACGGGUAGUCUAUGUGGACAGGGUGAGAUUAAUGCUACUGUUAGCCUACAUGGACAAGGUGAGAUUAAUGCUACUGUAGCCUACAUGGACAUGGUGAGAUUAAUGCUACUGGUAGCCUACAUGGACAAGGUGAGUUAAUGCUACUGGUAGCCUACAUGGACAGGCUUUAUCGGUGUGCUUGCAUCACCAACAUCUCUACUGGUAGGCUGUAAAUUCAGUCUAUUUGAAUGCCAAUGCAAAGUAUCAUUGGGAAGGCCUAUAAAUGCACCUCAUGUUUUACAUGAUAAUACACAGCCUCAUGUCCCAAGGAUCUGUACACAAUUCCUGGAAGCUGAAACUGUGCCAGUUCUUCUAUGGCCUGCAUACUCACCAGACGUGUCACCCAUUGAGCAUGUUUGGGAUGCUCUGGAUGGACGUGUACGACAGCGUGUUCCAAUUCCUGCCAUGUCCAGCCACUUCGCACAGCCAUUGUAGAGGAGUGGGGCAACAUUCCAUAGGCCACAAUCAACUGCCUGAGCAACACUAUGUGAAGGAGAUGUGUCACGCUGCAUGAGGCAAAUGGUGGUCACACCAGAUACUGACUGUUUUCUGAUCACGACCCUUCAGCACCAGCCACGACCCCCAACAGAUUUAUAUCUGUAUUCCCAAUCAUGUGAAAUCCAUAAAUUAGGGCCUAAUUAAUUUAUCUCAAUUGACUGAUUUCCUUAUACUCAAUAAAGUCUUUAUAAUUGUUGCAUGUUGCGUUUAUAUUUAUGYUCAGUAUAUAAAGACCAAUCCAAGGCUUUAAUGACCAUACUCAUUAGCAAUGUUGAGCAGAGAUAAUAGAUAUGACGGUGCAUAUUCAGUAAUGGCAGUGUUAUUGUCUCCAGUCUGAGUCCUACCUCUGUUAACCACUCAGGUCUGCUGUGUUGUGGUUGGUGGUACUCAGCCUGAACAUGUGUUAGGAACUCACUCCGAGCAGCAGGAGAGAGCCAGCACCCCAGCCCACAGCCCACAGGUGAGAGAAAGAGACUGAGAGACAUACAAUCACACUCGCAUAUCAACACACACACACUACUGAUGUGACAUACAUUAUUGUCUCCAGAGGCGUCAGGAAGACUCUAAAUCGCCACAGUGGAAACGCAUCAACACAGCACCCGUCUGAGAGUAACAUAUAGCUGAGCUCAAGGUUUACCGUGGUCAACAGCUCUGACACCUUUACGGUCGACUCUCCAUUACUGGCGUUUCAGUCACAUCCUUGAGAGCCCGGAAAUCUUCUAGUCCCAUAUUUGUGUUGUUAUUGCUUUUUCUUGAUUCUGUUUUGCUUUCAAAAUCACACGUUUUUAAAUAAAAAAGGACACAACUGGAUGUUGUAAGUCCGCAAUAAUACCUAUAGACCACGCCGGGAGACAACUUUUGGGGUGUAGUUACCCUUUAAUUGAGCUGCACACCAGCCAGAGACUGUUUGGGUAGUAAUGUCUCUGUAACGCUCAUUUGAUGGCAGAGUUUACAAAACAGAUGUCCCCUCGAUUGAUGCAAAUAAUCAUGAUAUAGGCCACCUUUUUUAGUUGACAUUAAUUGAUAAGGUUUUUGGGAACCAUUCCUAUCUACCAGAAGACGGUUGUCGUGACAUUAGCAUCACCACUAGCGGCUCCACAAGUGGUAGACAAACGUGCGCACACAGACGGGCGUCCUGUGCUGUGGCCUCUUCAGGAAGUUGAAGGAAAUACAAUAACGGAUGCAUUUUGUUCAUUUUAUAUGGCCCUAGAAAUCCGUCUCUGGGUGACGGUCUCUCCCUCCUCACGGUGCAUCUCGGUUGAAUGGGAAAGCAUGAUGACAGUGUCACUAGGGCUCAGGCUGGAGAGGAACAUAGUAAGGUGUAUGGUAGUUGUAUUGUUGUCCACCAGAGGGCAGCAGAGGCUCCUGGGAAAGGGCUGUUGGGAAGAUGAGUCUGCUGUGUGUUUGGUUGUUAUUAAAUAAUAAGCUGGAUAAUCUGUUGUUAGUCAUCAUGUGGCGUUUUAGGAUGACUGAACCAAAUGUCUUGCUCUUUCUAAAAAUUCAUUUUUCAUGAGUGCGAGUGUCAACCAUGUGUUUUUCGGGAUCGUUUUUGGGCAAGGAGAGGUGCAGAAUCACUCAUCUGAUCCCAUGAAUACAGUGCAUUCAGAAAGUAUUCA
ensembl:lncRNA